CUUGCAUGUUGGAAACAAGGAAAGAAACGUCUAAGCAUGAAGAGACCUUGAAAAACAGACAGCAUAUGGGGCUGUCACGGGAUGAACAAAUGACUCGGACCCAAACCCGAACCCGAACCCGAAGAAUUGAGAGGACAAUGAACAGAUAGACAUCAGGAAUCAGAAAAGAUUAAGCUGAAACUAAAGAAAGACACUGAGGAGAGAACAGAAUAUCAACAUGUCAACUGUUGAAACCAGAGAGAAUGAUGCUCACAAUUCUCCUCAUAGGAAAAGAUGGAGCAAAAACCAACCUCU